rnacentral:rRNA from 1 species
UGCCGCGUGUGUGAAGAAGGCCUUAUGGUUGUAAAGCACUUUAAGCGAGGAGGAGGCUCUUUUGGUUAAUACCCARGAUGAGUGGACGUUACUCGCAGAAUAAGCACCGGCUAACUCUGUGCCAGCAGCCGCGGUAAUACARAGGGUGCAAGCGUUAAUCGGAUUUACUGGGCGUAAAGCGCGCGUAGGCGGCCAAUUAAGUCAAAUGUGAAAUCCCCGAGCUUAACUUGGGAAUUGCAUUCGAUACUGGUUGGCUAGAGUGUGGGAGAGGAUGGUAGAAUUCCAGGUGUAGCGGUGAAAUGCGUAGAGAUCUGGAGGAAUACCGAUGGCGAAGGCAGCCAUCUGGCCUAACACUGACGCUGAGGUGCGAAAGCAUGGGGAGCAAACAGGAUUAGAUACCCUGGUAGUCCAUGCCGUAAACGAUGUCUACUAGCCGUUGGGGCCUUUGAGGCUUUAGUGGCGCASCUAACGCGAUAAGUAGACCGCCUGGGGAGUACGGUCGCAAGACUAAAACUCAAGRA